GAAAGAUCUCAAUAACUUUCUUCGCGUGUCUUUUGUUGACGAAGAGUUGGAUAAAAUUCAUUCAACAGAUUUAUCUCCACGAGCCUCUUCUGAAAAUGAGGAUAGGAGAACUGCUAUUUAUAAAAGGAUUCUCUCUACUCUUCAAAAUGGAAUAGUUAUUGACAAGAAAAAGUUUGAGUUCCUUGCCUUUUCGUCUAGUCAGUUGCGGGAAAAUUCAUGCUGGAUGUUUGCUUCAAGAUAUGGUCUGACUGCUGCAGAUAUAAGGGAAUGGAUGGGCAACUUCCGUCAGAUACGAAAUGUGGCUAAAUAUGCUGCUAGACUGGGUCAGUCCUUCGGCUCAUCCACUGAAACCCUGAGUGUUAGUCGAGAUGAAAUUGAAAUUAUUCCUGACAUAGAGAUUGGAAGGGGCAGAACUACAUAUACGUUCUCUGAUGGAAUUGGGAAAAUAUCUGCCGAAUUUGCUAGGAGGGUGGCCUUGAAAUGUCGCUGUAAAGGUUUCACGCCAUCUGCAUUUCAAAUUAGAUAUGGUGGGUAUAAAGGUGUCGUGGCAGUUGAUCCAACUUCUUCAAAAAAAUUAUCAUUGAGAAAGAGCAUGUGCAAGUAUGAGUCUGAAAAUACAAAACUGGAUGUUUUAGCGUAUAGCAAGUAUCAGCCUUGUUUUCUGAAUCGGCAACUGAUUACUCUUCUGUCUACCCUUGGUGUUCCAGAUUAUAUUUUUGAGAAAAAACAAAGAGAGGCUGUUGAUCAACUUAAUGCUAUGUUAACAGAUCCAUUAAGGGCACAGGAGGCACUGGAUUUGAUGUCCCCAGGAGAGAUUGCUAACAUUCUGAAGGAAAUGCUUUUGUGUGGUUAUAAGCCCGAUGCAGAACCAUUCCUUUCAAUGAUGCUCCAAACAUUCCGGGCAUCAAAAUUGCUUGAUUUGCGGAUGAAAACUAGGAUUUUUCUUCCAAAUGGAAGAUCUAUGAUGGGAUGUCUAGAUGAGACUAGAACUUUGGAAUACGGACAGGUAUUCGUGCAAUUUUCUGGUACUAGACAUAUGCGGCUAUAUGAUACUUCCAACAUGUUUGGAGGUAGUGGAUCUGACCAGCAUUUUGUGAUUGAGGGAAAGGUGGUUGUAGCUAAGAACCCAUGCUUGCACCCUGGUGAUGUUCGUGUCUUAAGCGCUGUGAAUGUGCCCGCUUUGUACCAUAUGGUGGAUUGUGUUGUUUUUCCACAGAAAGGACAAAGACCUCAUCCAAAUGAAUGUUCUGGAAGUGAUUUGGAUGGAGAUAUCUACUUUGUCUGUUGGGAUACGGGUUUAAUCCCACAUAAGCAAAUUGCACCAAUGGACUAUACGCCAGAGCCAACUAUGCAGCUGGAUCAUGAUGUUACGAUUGAGGAAGUUGAGGAGUAUUUCACCAACUACAUUGUAAAUGACAGUUUGGGAAUAAUCUCUAAUGCUCACACUGUCUUUGCUGAUAGGGAACAUUACAAAGCAAUGAGUGCUCCAUGCAUAGAACUUGCACGUAAAUUUUCAAUUGCAGUUGAUUUUCCAAAAACUGGAGUACCAGCUGUAAUACCUCCACAUCUACAUGUCAAAGAAUAUCCUGAUUUUAUGGAAAAGCCUGACAAGCCCACCUAUGAAUCUCAGAAUGUGAUUGGCAAGCUUUUUC
rnacentral:misc_RNA from 1 species